rnacentral:rRNA from 1 species
CAGAGGAGCCAAGCGUUGUCCGGAUUGACUGGGCGUAAAGCGCACGCAGGCGGAUGCGCGCGUGGGGUGUGAAAUCUGGCCGCUUAACGGCCAGGCGCCAUCCCAUACGGCGCGUCUGGAGCCUUGCAGAGGUCGGUGGAAUAGCCGGUGUAGUGGUGAAAUGCGUAGAGAUCGGCAGGAACACCCAGGGGGAAACCAGCCGACUGGGCAAGUGCUGACGCUGAGGUGCGAGAGCGUGGGGAGCGAACCGGAUUAGAUACCCGGGUAGUCCACGCCGUAAACGAUGGCCACUCGGCCUUUGGGGGCGGAAUCUCCGUCCGUGGGGGCCUUAGCAAACGCGGGAAGUGGCCCGCCUGGGAACUACGAGCGCAAGCUUA